AGGUCAUAUACCAGUUAAACUGCCCCAUUUUGCCUCUUAGUGUACAUUGUGAGCCCACUCAACCAGUUCCUGAGAUACUACUGGGAAGCUGCUGAUCACCAGUUUCAGGUUUUUUCCAUCUGUUGGGAAACUGCCUAUCCCUUGUGCUCGCUGCAACCAAUUAUUAUUUUAGGGAGACAGUUAACCGCCUGACCAUCACCCGAUGAUCGCCUGAUGUUCAUGCAUCCAUGACUACAUAAACUUUUUGGCCGUUUGACCAAAUGGGGACAUCUGGCAUACUGCUAUCAACCAAUAUAAAACUACUGGAGGGUGGUUCCAAGAUGGCCAAAUAGGAACAGCUCCAGUCUACAGCUCCCAGCAUGAGUGAUGCAGAAGACGAAUGAUUUCUGCAUUUCCAACUCAGUUCACAGAUCUUCAACUCCAGAGAACUGAGUUUAAGGAGCUGUACCUGGGAAAUUGUGCCUGAAGCUGUUCCUGAGGAAUCUGCACCUGGAUCUAAUGUACAUGCUGAGAU
rnacentral:lncRNA from 1 species